AUUUAAAUAGUUUAAUAAAAAUAUUGAUUUGUGAUGUCAAAGAUAAGAUUGUUUCUUUUUAAAUC
rnacentral:tRNA from 1 species